UUCUUCCCCUCCAGAUCAAUGUGGCCAUCAGAUCAUCACUGCAGAAUCUCAGGGAGAAGAUUGAUCAGCUGAAGGAGUUGCUGCUUCGGGCGGUGUCAACACGGCAAAUCACACAGCUGGAGGGGGACAGGAGGCAGAAUUUGGUGGACGACCUUCUCACACGACAUAAACAACUUGAGG